GACGAACGCUGGCGGCGUGCCUAAUACAUGCAAGUAGAACGCUGAAGCGAGGAGCUUGCUCUUCUUGGCUGAGUUGCGAACGGGUGAGUAACGCGUAGGUAACCUGCCUUGUAGCGGGGGAUAACUAUUGGAAACGAUAGCUAAUACCGCAUAACAAUGGAUGACACAUGUCAUUUAUUUGAAAGGGGCAAUUGCUCCACUACAAGAUGGACCUGCGUUGUAUUAGCUAGUAGGUGAGGUAACGGCUCACCUAGGCGACGAUACAUAGCCGACCUGAGAGGGUGAUCGGCCACACUGGGACUGAGACACGGCCCAGACUCCUACGGGAGGCAGCAGUAGGGAAUCUUCGGCAAUGGGGGCAACCCUGACCGAGCAACGCCGCGUGAGUGAAGAAGGGUUUCGGAUCGUAAAGCUCUGUUGUAAGUCAAGAACGAGUGUGAGAGUGGAAAGUUCACACUGUGACGGUAGCUUACCAGAAAGGGACGGCUAACUACGUG
rnacentral:rRNA from 1 species